AGCCCCAAGGUGUCCAACAUAUAAGAUUGCAAAUCUUAAGAGGCAGAAUAACUACUGCUGGGGCUU
rnacentral:tRNA from 1 species